AAUCUGGGAAACAUAAAUCUCCUAAUUUGUAAAUGAAAUUGACACAAAAUACUAGAAAAAUCAUCACAAUAACAACAGCAAUUCGGUUGAACAUACAUGAAGCUGCCCAAAAAUCUACUAACUUGUUAAGGAAUGAAGUUUGGAUGAAAACAAUGGGGGUUGUGACGGGAGAGAAACAGUGGCAAGAUGGACAUGGUGGGGGACAUAUUGUAGCAAUUUAGCAAUAACCCAUCACCCGUGGUUGGUUCUUCACAGUUCUAGUUUUCUGGGUUGGGUUGUUUUUCUUUUAAAACUGGUAGGAUUAGUAUUUUGAAUGAUUAUGUUAAGAGCAAGCAACUGGAGGAUGUGGUUGUUGUUUCUAGUAGCAGUUGAGUUUAGAAAAUGGGUUCAUUUCAUGUGCAAGUUUGAUUUAAUUGUUUUUUGUUUUGAUUUUUUUUAAGUUCCAAUUUAUAGCCUUCGUUGAUGAAUCUAUAUGACGUCACCAAGAAAAAAAAUGAGUUUUAG
rnacentral:lncRNA from 1 species